CAAAUCUUAGAUCUGUAUUUUGCUCAAGAAUUUUGAGACGAAGCACACUUCAAAAUCGGUAUCGUAGUUUUCCCUGUGAAGUUAUGAUUUAAAUUUUAUGAGAAUGAAUAGAAGUAUUUUGGCAUAUUUGUUGUUCUUAUAUAAUAUAUCUUAUAUUACGUCCUUGGUUCACCUAAAUGAUUGUGUAGUGGCACACAGGUCAGCACAGCAAGUUUCCUUUCUUUAGCAAGGAGCGGUUCCUAGCCCUUCGCCUUUUAACGUGAUCGAGGCACUUCUUCGAACACUGGACACAAAUACGUCGACGUCCCUUCCGAAAGACGGGCGCAGUCCCACCCGAGAUGCCCUUCCCAGGAUUUGAACCGGGGUCUGCCAGUUACCAACUCAUUGGAACAAGGACUCAAAUAAGAUACUGUUACAAGUUGCAAUUGACCAAUGAAGCAAACUAAAUAUAGUAAUCGGUGGUAUUAACAUGAUACUUCCGGUAGGACCUUGCGCCUGUAUCAACCAAUCGUUACUGAGCCUUACCUUGAAACAGUUUGUUUAAAAAAAACCGGAAUAUUCCUCUCUUACUUUGUAUCAAACUAAGAAAAUUAUGAUGACGCAUGUUGGCAGCAAUAACUCACUAGAGACUCCACUUCAAGACUCCAAUUAGAGCGGCCCUAAUCAAUUAGAACUCCCCAUGGACGGGGGCAUACAGUCGGGGGAGGGGUGAGGGCCUCUCUGCUCUCGUUGAACAAAAGGCUUUGACGCCUAAUGGGCUCUUUUGAAGUGUUAGUCUCAAUAGAGGGGAAAACCCACUGAAAAGGGCUACAAUGUAGUACCGGUAUAUGUCGGAAAGGUUAACUGGUAGUUCCGCAAAUCAAAAGACAUUGUUGGACUGUUGUAGGCACAUGAUGAUUAUGAUGAUGAUGGCGAUUGGUUUAUUGAGAGUAAAAUCGGUUCAUACCCUUGUAGUGCAUUUUUUGCACAUAGGGCAGAAGGUUUUCUUACUGUUUCAGUAACAGGGUAUAUCUUUAAAGAGAGUGGUUGUCUUUUAAACAAGAUAUUAAACCUAAUUUCUUGCAGACAACAAAGCUACAGUUACCUGACUACACUACUACAGCUCGACAACGAACAUUUGCAUAUACAGGUACGAGCUGUUUCAACAAACUGACAGACGACAUAAGACAGAUUUCAACCAAGGUAUUUAAAGAGAAUCCGUGUGUUUGUGCUUUGGUUUUAGACUAUAUUCGUUCUUUCACUGAUGUGUCGCAUUUAUAAAUUACGGGCAACCAAUUGAUACAGUUAUUAGUUAAUCUGUAAGUAUAUUUAUGAUGCAUUGUUGUCACACUUCGGGUCUGGAUAUGUCACAAAGGCUUCGGGUCAUUACAACUUGAAAAGCUUCAGAGGACUGAUCGAAAUAUUGGUAAGCGCUUUAAUUUAAAUGUGUGUACGGAUAUAGAGUUUAAAGUUGUAACAAAAUGCAUUGUUGUAUUCAAUUAUUUCUUGAUUCAACAAAAAAUAUUUGAUUCAUUCACCCAUCCUUUUCAACAUUUGAUUCCUUCGUAGGAAGUUCGACUCAAGUCACAUGUUUUUAACAUUUCCCCUUUAUUUCACCAAGUUGCAUCUAGUGUACAGAAUUGUGUGCCAUAUGCUUGUAAGUCUUGCUGGUCUAAUAGUCACAUAUGUAUCAGAAACUUUACCAUGAAAGUAAAAAUACUUUACCAUGAAAUAAAAAGAUUGCAUUUUCCACUGACUUAGAAAUGAUCGUAUCAAGUGAUGUUAAACAUGGCAUAGUUGACCCAGAAGGAAUGGUAUGGACUUUCACUGAAGGCACUA